rnacentral:rRNA from 1 species
UGGGGAAUCUUAGACAAUGGGGGAAACCCUGAUCUAGCCAUGCCGCGUGAGCGAUGAAGGCCUUAGGGUUGUAAAGCUCUUUCAGCUGGGAAGAUAAUGACGGUACCAGCAGAGGAAGCCCCGGCUAACUCCGUGCCAGCAGCCGCGGUAAUACGGAGGGGGCUAGCGUUGUUCGGAAUUACUGGGCGUAAAGCGCACGUAGGCGGAUUAGUCAGUCAGAGGUGAAAUCCCAGGGCUCAACCCUGGAACUGCCUUUGAUACUGCUAGUCUUGAGGUCGAGAGAGGUGAGUGGAAUUCCGAGUGUAGAGGUGAAAUUCGUAGAUAUUCGGAGGAACACCAGUGGCGAAGGCGGCUCACUGGCUCGAUACUGACGCUGAGGUGCGAAAGCUGGGGAGGCAAACAGGAUUAGAUACCCUGGUAGUCCACGCCGUAAACG